GCCCCCCUCGCGAGAAACAGAUCUCUGAUGAGGUUCACCUUUGGCUUUGGAUUUAUUUUUUCUUGCUUUCCACGGAUUGAAUCUCGAAGUUUAUUUUUGUUGCUUUCCACGGAUUGAAUCUCGAUGAUCUCCACAAGCUCUUCUCCUUGGCCGGAUUUCUGCUGCUGAUUCUUCCCCACGUUACCUAGCUACGUCCUCGCGAGAGCAUAUGGAGGAUUACUGUCGUGGAUUGGUUCGUCUGUCGAUCUCCACCAAAAUACAUGACCCGGGGUGCAUUCUGCCCAGAUUCUCAAUGUGUUUUCUAACCUAGAUCUUGACAGAAUUGGAUGAUGGUGCGGAUUUUAUUCUCUAGGUCUUACCAGCGGGGUAGCAAGAUUUGUUUGAAGAGGAUUCAAGUCCAAGAAUUUUUCUUCCUGACAAGUGUCGAUCGAAGUCAAUCUGCAGGAAUCAGUGCGGCCUCACCCCAUCCCGGACUUCCACAAUGACCACACCAUGACAUGCGACCUAUAGGUUAUUGGCUACAAGCUAAUGAAAAUUAAUCUAUAGGAAUUUCCACUUUUCUGCUUAUAUGUUUAGUCUCCAAGGUUUGAAUCUCCAAUCUCUCCCCAAGCUCUUCUCCUCUGUCUAUCUUCACCUCCCGAGUAACUAAGAUGGACCUCACCCGGCCCAGCUAUUGCCCCCCGCUGCACCCUUACCUCCUGCAGCCAUCUGCUGAGUACAUACCUCAAUGCUAAGCAACAUCCUCACUGUAACAGCGACGACUACAUCACUACCAUGAAGACCGGCAAUCAAGGAAGAGGUUGAUCAAGGUGCGAGACUAUGACGUGUGUUAAAUUUCAGCAUAUCGUGCAACCACAUGAUGACACCCACCAUGCAUGUGACUUGCAAGCAGUAACUGCUUGCCAUCCAUCAACAUAACAAGGACGAAGCCAACACCCAUCUACACGGGGUACUUGCGCGGCACAGUACAAUAAACGUUUCAGCAUAUAUACCUUUUCUCUGGCGAGUUUCAAACAUCCUCUGUCUACCUGUUGGACCUGCUCGCAAUGCAUGAGUUUGAUCCUAUGAGGUAGUUUUCCUACAUACUAAAUUCGAACAAUGGCUAUUUUGAAGGAACGGUCAAGAGCAAGCAGCUAUAACAGUUUUUUUUGUCCUAUUAUACUUCGAUCUGAUUUCUUCUAACAACGUGCUACUCCUAAAUAGUUCAUGGUUUGGUCAGGUUCAUUCUUCUCUUCAUAGUAUAUAAUCUUCUCAAAUUCUAGGUUUGUUUGACAAUGUUUAGGCAUUGACUUACAUGAAGAAAAGGCAGAUGUUAUUUGGCAAGACGCCCAGCUACAGAUGGUUGUUUAUUUAUCAAGUAUCUCAUAAGUCAUAAGGCAAACAAAAUGGAUGUUCAUAGUGUCAAUCAGUAUCUCCAGGUCGUGUGGUACGAAGGCCAGUAUGACCAGUCCAAGAUUAAGGAGAUGCUAUGUCGACAAUCAAUGCCGACAUUUCCUUUGCUCAUUAAUUAAAAUCAUUGCGUACAUCAGUUUGUCUGUAUCAUGCAUCAAUUUGUUCUGCCGGGCGUCGACAAGAGAGUUAGCGAUCUACAGCUGGUUCGGUGGACUGGUGGUGACACGGGCGGAACUAAAUUGUUAUUCAUUUUUCUUGUCGGCUUGACUUAACAUGGUACAGAGAAAGAGGAAGCAAGACAGAACGACAGGGAAAGGGAAGCGGAAGA